CCUACGGGCGGCUGUAGUGGGGAAUAUUGGACAAUGGGGGGAACCCUGAUCCAGCCAUGCCGCGUGUGUGAAGAAGGCCCUCGGGUUGUAAAGCACUUUCAGUGAGGAAGAACGCCUGGUGGUUUAUACCCAUCAGGAAAGACAUCACUCACAGAAGAAGCACCGGCUAACUCCGUGCCAGCAGCCGCGGUAAUACGGAGGGUGCGAGCGUUAAUCGGAAUUACUGGGCGUAAAGCGCGCGUAGGUGGCUUGAUAAGCCGGUUGUGAAAGCCCCGGGCUCAACCUGGGAACGGCAUCCGGAACUGUCAAGCUAGAGUGCAGGAGAGGAAGGUAGAAUUCCCGGUGUAGCGGUGAAAUGCGUAGAGAUCGGGAGGAAUACCAGUGGCGAAGGCGGCCUUCUGGACUGACACUGACACUGAGGUGCGAAAGCGUGGGUAGCAAACAGGAUUAGAUACCCGUGUAGUC
rnacentral:rRNA from 1 species